CAACCCAGACAAUUGGGCAGGUUGGAUGGCUGCGGGCCAAGACCAGUGUGCAUAGGCUCAGGACUACAGAUCCUACCGAGGUAAAAUCCAAGCCUAGGCCUGGUGAUUAUUUGCACAAUGAUGGUGCGGUGGUGUGUGCCGCACCAUAUCCUGAUUCCCCCAUUUUUUUUCAAAUCCUUUAGGGUUUAGGAAAACACGAAACAUGCUUCUAAUUUAAUUGAAUACUUUGACUCACAAAUUCCACAUAGCAAUUAUUGCGUAAUGUAUGAAACAAAUAUAUAUAUUGACAAAUAUAUGAACAUAUACAAUAUAUAUAUCGAAAGGUAAAUGUAAAUGUAGGGGGUUCAUGCAUCAUGGGGAAUGUUUUCAUGCUUCAUGGGUCGUUUCAAAUAUCUUCCUUUAUUUUAAGCGUACCUGAGUAGCAGAAAACAACAAAAGCCUUUGAAUUUGUAGAAGAUCCUUCUUGAAAGCCGGAAUUCUCCAAUGCGUUGUAUCACGUUCAAUACAGAAAAAUUAAAUUGAAUCAAUAGCAUGUAGAUCAAUUUAAUAAAAUAAUAAAUUAAUCAUGAAAAGAAUGAUUAAAACGUAAUACUCCCCAAAUUGAAGAUCAAACUCUCUUGUUAGCGUAGCGUCAAGAGCGUGCUGAUAACGUGUUGUAGGCAUAAUUUACUGAACAAUUAUGGAGGCCUUAGAGAGAAAAGGGGUGCGGCAAUAGAGAGAAGAAUAGAGAGAUGUGUAAUUGUGGGUGUGUGUUAUCUCACCCUAUUGUGCCUUUAUUUAUAGUAGUAUGAAGGGUAAAACAUUUCCCUUUAGGAUUACAACAUUUAAUAGGUAAUCUAAUCCUAAUAGGAAUAUAAGAUACAUUCUCAUAUUUCCUAGGAUUUACACAAUCACAUUCUUAUUCUAAAUAGGACUGCAACAGAAUCUACGUAAUCGCAAAAGGAGCACAAUAUUUGCGUGGGGAACGAAUAAUUGCUCCGUUGUUUCGAAACUUUCUCACAUAUCUCUAUGAUCAAAAUACAAGUUCAAAUCUAUAUACAAAUUGGAUACCUUUAUAUAGUUGACUUUACCCCGAUCUCUAAACGUACUGUCAAUAUAGACAGUAAAUUAGUAAUUUUGUAUUAAAGAGCUCGGGUGGAAAAAUUGUCUACCCCAAAAGGACCAUUGUCUACAUUCCAAAUGUCAUGCUUUCAAGUUUAAAAUGUGAACUAAGUGCAAUGAUUUACAUUUAUCAUGUUACUAAUGAUUUUCUUUUAUCUUUUUCUACAUUUUCACUUAUUUUCACAUUUUGAAAAGAGUUUCAUCAAUAUAAACUUUAUUCAAUUCGCUCGUAUCCUUUUUCAAUCAUGUUGGUGAAAUGAGUUUCUUUCCAUGCAAAUUCUGAUUACAUUGAAACACGUUGUGAUUUAGAAUUGAGACUGAAAUUUUUUAAAUAAGGAUGUCAUAUUUUUCUCAUUUUUAUUCUAGUAGGUUGCUAACCAGUGUUAAACCAAAAGAAUGCAAGAUCAUUCAAUAUGCACUCAAACACUUUUGGCAUGAAGUAGGGGUACCUAACACUCCCUCACAGUUAUUUUACCACAUCCUUAUAAAUGAAUAUUUUGUUUCAUUUGACUCAUUUCAAUACUUAUACAUAACGUAAAAUUGACUUGGACAAUUGAAAAAAAUGAAAAAUCAGUAUUGAGUGUAAUUUUGUAAUUUUGUAUUUUGAGGUGUUAUGGAGAAAUUGUCUAAUUCCAAAAGGAUAAUUAGCAAUAUAAAAUAUUGGAGGAAACUAAAAGGUUAUAUUCCCGAAUUGGCCAAUCUUGUAUUUCGGAGUUGAUCUAUUCUUGAAAGUUAUAACGCUUGUCAUUACGAGUGAUUACAACUACAUGCAAGAAACGAAUCUCAGUUUUAGCAAAAAGUUAGAACUGGAUAUUAUAGUUACAUUCAGGAAACGAAUGAUGGUGAUGAGGAGACGGGAAGAAGAUAGGUGGUCAACAAGAGCUAGAUAUUUUCUUGAGAGAGUGAUAAAAGUUCGCAAAAGGUUCGGCAACGAAAAUCAAGGGCGAAUUUCAUUCCAAAAAACAGAAAUUGUGCAUUGCAGCCACCAAUAACGACAAGGAAGGAACAAUCAAAGAGGCAUACUCGAGGUCAGAACCUAUCUGAUCUAACUAUAAAUCAGUCACCAAUAGCCUUUCUUAGAGAAAUAGUUAGUGAAAGGCAAGAAAUUGAGAAUUAUCGCAGGUUCGAGGUUAAUAAAGUUGCAUUAUUUACAAAUGAGAAUUGAGGAAUGG
rnacentral:lncRNA from 1 species